UACGAAGGGGGGCUAGCGUUGCUCGGAAUCACUGGGCGUAAAGCGCACGUAGGCGGCUUUUUAAGUCAGGGGUGAAAUCCUGGAGCUCAACUCCAGAACUGCCUUUGAUACUGAGAAGCUUGAGUUCGGGAGAGGUGAGUGGAACUGCGAGUGUAGAGGUGAAAUUCGUAGAUAUUCGCAAGAACACCAGUGGCGAAGGCGCUCACUGGCCCGGUACUGACGCUGAGGUGCGAAAGCCAGGGGAGCAAAGCGGG
rnacentral:rRNA from 1 species